rnacentral:rRNA from 1 species
AUACGGAAGGUGCAAGCGUUAAUCGGAAUCACUGGGCGUAAAGCGCUCGUAGGUGGCUUUUGUAAGUCAGGUGUGAAAGCCCACGGGCUCAACCGUGGAAUUGCACUUGAUACUGCAUUGCUUGAGUUCGGGAGAGGGUAGUGGAAUUCCAGGUGUAGGAGUGAAAUCCGUAGAGAUCUGGAGGAACACCAGUGGCGAAGGCGACUACCUGGACCGAUACUGACACUGAGGAGCGAAAGCGUGGGGAGGC